GAAACAUCUAAGUACCCCGAGGAAAAGAAAUCAACCGAGAUUCCCCCAGUAGCGGCGAGCGAACGGGGAGGAGCCCAGAGCCUGAAUCAGUGUGUGUGUUAGUGGAAGCGUCUGGAAAGGCGUGCGAUACAGGGUGACAGCCCCGUACACAAAAAUGCACAUAUUGUGAGCUCGAUGAGUAGGGCGGGACACGUGGUAUCCUGUCUGAAUAUGGGGGGACCAUCCUCCAAGGCUAAAUACUCCUGACUGACCGAUAGUGAACCAGUACCGUGAGGGAAAGGCGAAAAGAACCCCGGCGAGGGGAGUGAAAAAGAACCUGAAACCGUGUACGUACAAGCAGUGGGAGCCUCUUAAUGGGGUGACUGCGUACCUUUUGUAUAAUGGGUCAGCGACUUAUAUUCUGUAGCAAGGUUAACCGAAUAGGGGAGCCGAAGGGAAACCGAGUCUUAACUGGGCGUUAAGUUGCAGGGUAUAGACCCGAAACCCGGUGAUCUAGCCAUGGGCAGGUUGAAGGUUGGGUAACACUAACUGGAGGACCGAACCGACUAAUGUUGAAAAAUUAGCGGAUGACUUGUGGCUGGGGGUGAAAGGCCAAUCAAACCGGGAGAUAGCUGGUUCUCCCCGAAAGCUAUUUAGGUAGCGCCUCGUGAAUUCAUCUCCGGGGGUAGAGCACUGUUUCGGCAAGGGGGUCAUCCCGACUUACCAACCCGAUGCAAACUGCGAAUACCGGAGAAUGUUAUCACGGGAGACACACGGCGGGUGCUAACGUCCGUCGUGAAGAGGGAAACAACCCAGACCGCCAGCUAAGGUCCCAAAGUCAUGGUUAAGUGGGAAACGAUGUGGGAAGGCCCAGACAGCCAGGAUGUUGGCUUAGAAGCAGCCAUCAUUUAAAGAAAGCGUAAUAGCUCACUGGUCGAGUCGGCCUGCGCGGAAGAUGUAACGGGGCUAAACCAUG
rnacentral:rRNA from 1 species